rnacentral:rRNA from 1 species
UACGUAGGUUCCGAGCGUUGUCCGGAUUUAUUGGGCGUAAAGCGAGCGCAGGCGGUUAGAUAAGUCUGAAGUUAAAGGCUGUGGCUUAACCAUAGUACGCUUUGGAAACUGUUUAACUUGAGUGCAAGAGGGGAGAGUGGAAUUCCAUGUGUAGCGGUGAAAUGCGUAGAUAUAUGGAGGAACACCGGUGGCGAAAGCGGCUCUCUGGCUUGUAACUGACGCUGAGGCUCGAAAGCGUGGGGAGCAAACAGGAUUAGAUA